rnacentral:rRNA from 1 species
UACGUAGGGUGCGAGCGUUAAUCGGAAUUACUGGGCGUAAAGCGUGCGCAGGCGGUUUGGUAAGUCAGAUGUGAAAUCCCCGGGCUUAACCUGGGAAUGGCAUUUGUGACUGCCCGGCUAGAGUGUGUCAGAGGGAGGUAGAAUUCCACGUGUAGCAGUGAAAUGCGUAGAUAUGUGGAGGAAUACCGAUGGCGAAGGCAGCCUCCUGGGAUAACACUGACGCUCAUGCACGAAAGCGUGGGGAGCAAACAGG